CAACAAAUUUCUCUCACCCCCCUCUUCCCCCCCAACCCACCCCCCCCACAAAAAAGACCCCCCGCCGUAAAUUCCCAAACAGCCUUAGAUUUGCAUUUUAGAAGUACAUUUGCUUCUUCAGGCGUCAGCUUCCCCUGUUGGGACCUGAGGACUUGUUCCAGCUCGACUAAAGCUUCACCCAUUUACUCCAAAUUCUUGCUUUAAAUCCCUAACUUCGUAGAAAAUG
rnacentral:misc_RNA from 1 species